rnacentral:rRNA from 1 species
AACGAACGCUGGCGGCAUGCCUAAUACAUGCAAGUCGAACGAUCACUUCGGUGGUAGUGGCGCACGGGUGCGUAACGCGUGGAAUCUACCCUUGGGUUCGGAAUAACAGUUUGAAAUGACUGCUAAUACCGGAUGAUGACGAAAGUCCAAAGAUUUAUCGCCCAAGGAUGAGCCCGCGUAGGAUUAGCUGGUUGGUGAGGUAAAAGCUCACCAAGGCGACGAUCCUUAGCUGGUCUGAGAGGAUGAUCAGCCACACUGGGACUGAGACACGGCCCAGACUCCUACGGGAGGCAGCAGUAGGGAAUAUUGGACAAUGGGGGCAACCCUGAUCCAGCAAUGCCGCGUGAGUGAUGAAGGCCUUAGGGUUGUAAAGCUCUUCUACCCGAGAUGAUAAUGACAGUAUCGGGAGAAUAAGCUCCGGCUAACUCCGUGCCAGCCGCCGCCGUAA